CUGUAAUUUCCGAGAGAAGUUACAGCUUCCUGUACUGCUUGAACUGGAUCUAGGGGGUUUCUUUCGAAAGAUGAAGUCGUUGCGGGAAGUCCAAAUAAACCAAAAGAUGGUUGCUACAAGCGCCAGAGAAGGGAUGGUUGAGCCCAUAUGUCUCGCGUCCAAGGACAAAAGAGAAGGAGAUGCUCUGUGGAUUCCACCUGGUCUUUGCACAAUGAGCAGUAAGGAUCUGGUACUAUUUUUUCGGUUGUAUCUCAUUUCAUAAAGCUCGAGGAGCCGAGAAAGAUGAGGAGGCCAUUAGGGCUUUUGGAUAGUCUCGAUACUUUCGAUUUCAUAUUUUCCACGAGGAUGCUCGAUUGGAAGAUCAAUUGCUCCAAAUAAGUCAUAUGUUACUGAAGUAUGACGAGGAAGAUAUGCGAGGAUAGGGGUGAUGCUACGUUAUGGAGACGUGAGUUCAGUCUGAUGGUUUUAUGUAGAAUCAAGCUGCACAUUUCACAUAUUCAGCUGCUUUGAGGACGGUUAGGAGGUUGUGGUGAGAAGAUGCAGAGCUCUUACAUUGGUGUUUCCGUGUCCCUGUUGGGGUAUGAACAAGUUCGAUUGGUUCUCAAGAGGAUUCAACUUUAGAGAACCGGUGGAUGCAAAAUGCUAAUAAACAUGGAGGCUAUCUGUUUACCUGUGCCUACGAGUGGAGAUUGAACAUGGAAAUUGGGGAAUUUCAGAAGUAGAAUCUUAGGGGCACUGAAUUGUCUAUGGACUUCCCUUUCAUAAAUGCCAAUUUGACUGGCUUGCGUAACAAGUGUGGUUAUGCUCAAGUCAUCAAUUCAAAGUCAAGCUCUGAAUGUGGUAAUGCAAUGCUAGUCUCUACUCUCUAGUCCAUGUCCACUUGCCCAAAGUAGCGCAUGAGACCGGUUUCCUAUUGUUUACGCAUCACUUGUUUGAUUCAGGAAUGGCUAAAUAUGGAGGUCUAGUGAAAUUAUACUUCGACGAACCUUGUCCUAGGCUGUCUGACUCUGAGUUAUUAGUGAAAGUGUUUCGAGUCAUUCUAAUUAUCCAUUGUACAUGUCGAAAUGUACCUUACUGCAGCCUUGAAUUAGAGAGGAAGAUAUCACAAGAAGUUGAUGAAGGUUGAGUACCAUAAUUUCAAAACGGACAGCUUCUGCGGCGGGUGUGUUCUCCCUAAGAAAGACGGCGUCGGAGAGGACAGUGGUUGGAUCCUGUCUUGGGUACAUAAUGAAGAAACAGAUGUGUCCCAGGUUCACGUGAUUGAUGCGCAGAAGUUUGAAGGCGAGCCAGUAGCCAAAAUCACUCUGCCUCAACGAGUACCCUAUGGAUUUCAUGGUACCUUCGUCUUGAUACCAAAUUGAUGAUCGGGACACCAGAUCUCAUGUACAAAUCAUAGUAGGAGGCCUUACUUCUAUCAUUAGAUAAUAGGUUUUUUGCCUUUUGCAUGUGAUGUUCUUUCUAACUUUCUGAGUCUAGUUUUGUGCUAGCAUUUCCUGCUUUUAUCAGUAAACUGCAUCUACCCUGAAAAAGUAGAGAGUUAAGAGACUGGCUACCCCGAACUGCAUCGCUCUUUAAGCUACUGUACCCAAUAAAAGUCAAGCAUGUCUAUCCACCGACUCUACUGUGAGACCAAUGGCUAGAAUUUUGCCUACUCAUCAAGUAAUUCAUGGGCUCUUUUUGACUAAUCCAAGAUAUAUGUUGCUUGUAUAUAGAGGAGAGAUUUAGAUGCUUCUUGAAAGUUGAUCACUUAUUCUAACAGUAUCCUUUCAAAAGUAAAUAAAGGUCACAUUAUUCAUGGCA